CAUAUGUGUCAUCUCAUAGUGUUGAUGUCUUCACUGUUCUUCUACAAUGUAGAAAAUAGUCAAAUAAAUAAAAACCCUUGAAUGAGUAGGUUUGUCUGAACUUUUGACUGGUACUGUAUAUGUGAAAGAUAGUUUUUUAGUUGUAGUAUACUUCAUAAACACGGUUGUGUCUGUGAACCAACGUUUUACAUUGGAAUUAGUAGUUCAUAUAUUCAUGGUGGAACAGUAUCUAUGUCUGCUGAAGAUAGUUUUUCAUUUGGAAUAGUUUGUCCUGUACGUUCAUGGUUGUGUAUCUGUGAAAGGUAGUACCGGUCAUAAAGUCAUGGUUGUAUAUCUGUGAAAGGUAGUACCGGUCAUAAAGUCAUGGUUAUAUAUCUAGGUCAUUUACAGUUACAAUAGUUCAUAUACACUAUUCAUGCACUCUACUGAUCCAGGACUAGGGUUGCGAAAUUCCAGGGAACGUUGAAAUAAACCAAGGUUUUCCUGAAAUUCUGCUUGGAGGAGUCAUGAUUUCCUUCUUUUUUUAAAAUUCCCUCUUGAUUCCGGAAAUCCUCAAAAAGGGAUUUGGGGAUUAGUGAAGGUAUUUGGGGAUUAGUGAAGGUAUUUGGGGAUUAGUGGGGGAUUAGUGAAGGUAUUUGGGGAUUAGUGAAGGUAUUUGGGGAUUAGUGAAGGUAUUUGGGGAUUAGUGGGGGAUUAGUGAAGGUAUUUGGGGAUUAGUGAAGGUAUUUGGGGAUUAGUGGGGGAUUAGUGAAGGUAUUUGGGGAUUAGUGAAGGUAUUUAAGGAUUAGUGAAGGUAUUUGGGGAUUAGUGAAGGUAUUUGGGGAUUAGUGAAGGUAUUUGGGGAUUAGUGAAGGUAUU